UUUAAGAAAAGGAGAGAUUCCCAGCCUGCUUUACCUUUUCUUGACCUGCCAUAUGUCUAGCACAGAAAAAUGUUGAGCUAGAUCAAUACAUGGACAAUUUGGGUUUGCCUUGUAGCCUUAAAAGGUUGAAGACAGAGUUGAUGCAUUGGCUUGACGGGGAAUUUUGAGGUUCGCUGGACCGGGGGUCCUUGAGGAAAUUGAAGACACAGGCUUGCAGCAAAAAAAACCCAAGGUGGUAUACAAGGUGGUUCCCAGGCGGUCUCCCAUCCAGGCACUGACCAGACCUAGACCGGCUUAGCUUCAACAAGGUGGUGGCCUCAUGUGGCUUCAGACCAUAGCCCAGAAUAGAAGAGGGGAAGUAAAAAACAGGUCCACGCAAAUUCAUCAUGCGUAGAAGUCAGGUGAUGGUUGACAGCCAGGGAAGUUGUACAUAUAACAAUAUUUUUCAGGGCUUUUAAUACCUAGUAAUGGUUCUGUCUGUGGGAAUUUGGGAUAACAUCUGUGUCCCCACCCCACAGUACAUACUAUAAGACUGGAGUGGUUUUAGGCUUUGUAUACAUCUUCAUGUGUAGCAUUAUAUGAUGCUUGUUGUUUCAUCCCAGUGUUUCCCUCCAUUUCUCAAGUAUAUGA